GACAGCAAGGUCCGUGCAGACAGCAGGCUCCGAGAGAGGAGAGAAGCAGACUGCCUUUGAAGAGCGUCGGGAGUUGGGAGGGGCGGCUCCUUACAUGGAAGUUGCGGUAGGCUCAGUGUGAGCGUCGAGGGGACCAGAUUCACAGUACGCGGUGCCAAAGGGGAGCGAAACGUAAUCCUUGAGCUGUAACCUGAGUUUCAACAGGGAGAAAAAUCUUGAACUGGCAAGGAAUGAGCAGACACACCCACCUCAUAUACCCCGCGCCACAGCUGGAGCCAUUCAGUAAUCAGGGAGCAGUCACUAACAGACAUGCUCCAGUGACAUCGGACAAAUUAAUUUCACCCUCCACAAAAAUGGCCACACGAAAGAUGGACAACAGGAGCUUUUAAGACAGUGUCCCUUGCUGCUGUAAAGCCCAUCGCACUGGAUACUGGAUAAAGAGGAGAAGCAGUUAAAUAAGCCUGAUCUCUCAUUAUCAACGUCCUCUGUGAUGAGGUUGAGAAAAGCUUUUGACGGAAACUCCUCCUAUACGCAGCGGGAGCUUCAGACAGCCCAUAUUCACCUGUAAGAGCAGUUGUGACGUGAGGCAUGCAGAGCUCGAUGCUGUCAGGAUCCUGGUCACCUCCCACACCUACCGGUUUACAAUCUGCUCACCUGCACCCUUUAUCUGGACUCCAACACCCUUCAGCCAACGUCAGUCCGUCUGCUUUCUGCGGAAACCAACCCAGGCUCCAACUCAAAUCAGUCAUUACAGCUUCCACCAGACCUGCAGCUCACCCGCUUCAUCGCCCACCCAAGCUACGUGAAUUGCAGUCCAGAACCCUCCACCACUACUAGCAAUGAAUAAACCGUUUUCAACUUACUACAGUCUGUGUCCUGCUUCAGGGUUCAUCCCGUCAAACAUAUUAGGUUAACAAAGCUGUGGAUUUUUCCUGAGAAUACAUGAUCAACAGAAUCUGCACUGCAGCCAAACCUGCUAAAGGCUUAAAGCUCUUGAAAACAAAAAUAUUAAGGCAGGGAAAUUCUCUGAAGUGCAGAGGAGUCUGGCUGGAGAUGUGACAAACCAAGGGGUCGCCACAGCGAACAAGUCGCAUGGUAAACUUGGCA